AACGCCGAAUUUGCAACGCCGUCGCUGAGCUCGGAGCUGAGAGCGUCACAUUGGAGUUGGACCUUCAGAUUUCAGGAACUUCAGCUCCCUCUUUCAGGGCCUACAGGAGUGGUGGGUGUGGCCAGCGAGCUGUUCAGCACACCGCUUGGUCUCUGCCGCCAUUGUUGCUGGCCUUGCUGCUGUUGUUGUUGCUGCCUUGGUGAGCUAGAGCGCCCGAUGCGCUGUUGUUUUUACUGUAGAGGUUGGAGCGCCGGUGUGGCGUCCAUUACAGCAGCAGAUGGAUCCAUCAGGAGCCGAUGAGUCACAGAUCCCUCGGUUGGAAAGGAGAGAUGGAUUUUAAUCACGCCCGGAGAGAAGAUUUAUAUAAGCAGCCAUCCAGCCAUCGUAAUUUUGUUGUCCAGUAGGUGUUUAGUUAAGUUAAUUUUACCAUUAUAUCUAUAAGCGCAUUUCCCUUUUUUAUGUAACCUGUAAAUUAGCCUUUAGCCUUUUUGUA